UGUUUUCUUGUCUUCUGCUUAUAAUAGCUAAGCGCUUCUUGUGGAUUGUGAAGUGUGAUAUUUGUUUUUGGCUCUGAUGAUGGUUAAAUAAUUCUUUAUUCACGCAAAAGAGGAGCCUAGCCAACUACAAUAAAAGCAUCUGCGAAACUGAUAGUAAUCACAAUAGAGAAGUAUUCUGGAUAAGUAAUCACUACACUCAAACCCCAGUUGCAAGCAAGCAUCUUGUUGGUGGAGGUAAGAUUAAGGGAAGGAAGGGCUGUCAACAUUCACAUGUUUUGUGCUCGCAAGCCAGGUCUCUUGCUCUCCACCAUGAGAGCUCUAGACAACCUUGGAUUGGACAUACAACAAGCUGUAAUCAGCUGUUUUAAUGGGUUUGCACUGGAUGUUUUCCGAGCUGAGUUUCGGAUCUGGUGAUGCUGAACAAAGACAAUAUGAAAAUUGGGAAAUUGGAGCUAUGCGAGUACCACAAUUGUAGCUUUGUUAAACAAGCAUUACAGUACCAGCUAAUCUGGAAGUCUGCAUAUCAUCUAAAAAAUAGAAAAGUUGUAAGGUGUUUGGUUUGUUGGUGGAUAUUAAUAUUUGGAUGAAGAAUUCAGUAAUUUUGAUUUGGUGUUUGACAAAUGACAGCAAUGCAGGGAAGGCCAGGAUGUAUUGCCUGAGCAAAUCAAAGCAGUACUUUUGGAUUCAGCAGGGUUCCGUGGGAUAAUGUGAGGGUGAAUGGUUGGCUUAUUAUGAUGGUAUUGGUAUGAACAGAGGCAAUAGUAAAUGUUGAUGUAAAGUAAUUAGUUGCUUCUCAUCCCAGUGGUGAAGCAAAUUUUACAAGGUAGUGAGCUUUGUAGGUAGAGCAAGCAAGUAGGCAAACAAUUGAUUUCUUAGUUAUUGUAUCACUUGAGAAUGAAGUUGAUUUUGAUGGAGGUUUUUAU